UACGGGGGGGGCAAGCGUUGUUCGGAAUUACUGGGCGUAAAGGGCUCGUAGGCGGCCAACUAAGUCCGACGUGAAAUCCCAAGGCUUAACCUUGGAACUGCGUCGGAUACUGGAUGGCUUGAAUUCGGGAGAGGGAUGCAGAAUUCCAGGUGUAGCGGUGAAAUGCGUAGAUAUCUGGAGGAAUACCGGUGGCGAAGGCGGUUCUCUGGGCCUUACCUGACGCUGAGGAGCGAAAGCGUGGGGAGCGAACAGG
rnacentral:rRNA from 1 species